rnacentral:rRNA from 1 species
AACGCGAAGAACCUUACCAGGAUUCGACAUGCCCUCUAUGGAUUCCCGAAAAGGAAUCCUUCACUUCGGGUGGGAGGAGCACAGGUGCUGCAUGGCUGUCGUCAGCUCGUGUCGUGAGAUGUUGGGUUAAGUCCCGCAACGAGCGCAACCCUUGUCCUGUGUUACCAUGCCGAAAGGCGGCACUCGCAGGAGACCGCCAGCGAUAAGCUGGAGGAAGGUGGGGAUGACGUCAAGUCCUCAUGGCCUUUAUGUCCAGGGCUACACACGUGCUACAAUGGGCGGUACAAAGCGCUGCUAAACCGCAAGGUGGAGCCAAUCGCAAAAAGCCGCUCUCAGUUCGGAUUGCAGGCUGCAACUCGCCUGCAUGAAGCUGGAAUCGCUAGUAAUGCUAUAUCAGAACGAUAGCGUGAAUACGUUCCCGGGCCUUGUACACACCGGAGUA